AGAAAUCGUUAAGGGCGUAUGGCGGAUGCCUAGGCUUUCAGAGGCGAAGAAGGACGUGGUAAGCUGCGAAAAGCUGCGGGGAUUGGCACACACGAAUUGAUCCGCAGAUGUCCGAAUGGGGCAACCCGGCAUAUUGAAGAUAUGUCACCCAGCAAUGGGAGCAAACCCGGAGAACUGAAACAUCUAAGUACCCGGAGGAAAAGAAAUCGAAGAGAUUCCGUAAGUAGUGGCGAGCGAAAGCGGAUUAGCCCAAAAGCUUUUAUAUGUUUAAUAGAAUACACUGGAAAGUGUAGCCAUAGAGGGUGAUAGCCCCGUAUAUGAAAGGCAUACAUAAGUGAUAAAUGAGUAGGGCGGGACACGUGAAAUCCUGUCUGAAUAUGGGGGGACCAUCCUCCAAGGCUAAAUACUCCUGAAAGACCGAUAGUGAACAAGUACUGUGAAGGAAAGGUGAAAAGCACUUCGAAUAGAAGGGUGAAAUAGAACCUGAAACCGUACGCCUACAAGCGGUCGGAGCAGCUAUAUGCUGUGACGGCGUGCCUUUUGCAUAAUGAGCCUACGAGUUAAUCUUACUAGCGAGGUUAAGGACUUAAGGUCCGGAGCCGUAGCGAAAGCGAGUCUGAAUAGGGCGCUUAGUUAGUGGGAUUAGACGCGAAACCUUGUGAUCUACCCAUGGGCAGGUUGAAGCUUUGGUAACACAAAGUGGAGGACCGAACCGGUUGACGUUGAAAAGUCUUCGGAUGACCUGUGGGUAGGGGUGAAAGGCCAAUCAAACUGGGAGAUAGCUCGUACUCCCCGAAAUGCAUUUAGGUGCAGCGUCGAUAUAGUUUAUUAGAGGUAGAGCUACUGAUUGGAUGCGGGGGUUUCAUCGCCUACCAAUUCCUGACAAACUCCGAAUGCUAAUAAAUGAUUGUCGGCAGUGAGGGCAUGGGUGCUAAGGUCCAUGUCCGAGAGGGAAAGAACCCAGACCAACAGCUAAGGUCCCUAAAUAUAUGCUAAGUUGAAAGAACGCGGUUGGACUGCAUUGACAGCUAGGAUGUUGGCUUGGAAGCAGCCAUUCAUUUAAAGAGUGCGUAACAGCUCACUAGUCGAGCGGUCCGGCAUGGAUAAUAAUCGGGCAUAAGCAUAUUACCGAAGCUAUGGCAGUAUUAAAUACUGGGUAGGGGAGCAUUCUAUUUGCGCCGAAGCAGUACUGUGAGGUAUUGUGGAGCGGAUAGAAAAGAAAAUGUAGGCAUAAGUAACGAUAAAGGGGGCGAGAAACCCCCUCACCGAAAGACUAAGGUUUCCUCAGCCAUGCUAAUCAGCUGAGGGUUAGUCGGGGCCUAACGCGAAGCCGACAGGCGUAGUGGAUGGACAACGGGUUAAUA
rnacentral:rRNA from 1 species